GAUGAACGCUGGCGGCAUGCUUUACACAUGCAAGUCGAGCGGCAGCGCGGGGGCAACCCUGGCGGCGAGCGGCGGACGGGUGAGUAGAGCAUCGGAACGUAUCCCGUAGUGGGGGACAACCCAGCGAAAGCUGGGCUAAUACCGCAUAUGCUCUACGGAGGAAAGUGGGGGACUCGCAAGGGCCUCACGCUAUGGGAGCGGCCGAUGUCCGAUUAGCUAGUUGGUGGGGUAAAGGCCCACCAAGGCGACGAUCGGUAGCUGGUCUGAGAGGAUGAUCAGCCACACUGGGACUGAGACACGGCCCAGACUCCUACGGGAGGCAGCAGUGGGGAAUUUUGGACAAUGGGGGCAACCCUGAUCCAGCCAUGCCGCGUGCGAGAAGAAGGCCUUCGGGUUGUAAACCGCUUUUGUCUGGGAAGAAAAGGCGUCUCCUAAUAGGGGGCGUUCUUGACGGUACUGGAAGUAUAAGCACCGGCUAACUACGUGCCAGCCGCCGCGGUAAAAC
rnacentral:rRNA from 1 species